rnacentral:rRNA from 1 species
CCUACGGGUGGCAGCAGUGAGGAAUAUUGGUCAAUGGACGAGAGUCUGAACCAGCAACGUCGCGUGAAGGAUGACUGCCCUAUGGGCUGUAAACUUCUUUUAUAUGGGAAUAAAAUGUUCCACGUGUGGGUUUUUGUAUGUACCAUAUGCAUACGGAUCGGCUAACUCCGUGCCAGCCGCGGCGGUAAUACGGAGGAUCCGAGCGUUAUCCGGAUUUAUUGGGUUUAAAGGGAGCGUAGGUGGAUUGUUAAGUCAGUUGUGAAAGUUUGCGGCUCAACCGUACAAGUGCAGUUGAAACUGGCAGUCUUGAGUACAGUAGAGGUGGGCGGAAUUCGAGGUGUAGCGGUGAAAUGCUUAGAUAUAACGAAGAACUCCGAUUGCGAAAGCAGCUCACUGGACUGCAACUGACACUGAGGCUCGAAAGUGUGGGUAUCAAGCAGGAUUAGAUACCCUAGUAGUC